AUUGAACGCUGGCGGCAGGCCUAACACAUGCAAGUCGAGCGGAUGAAGGGAGCUUGCUCCUGGAUUCAGCGGCGGACGGGUGAGUAAUGCCUAGGAAUCUGCCUGGUAGUGGGGGAUAACGUCCGGAAACGGGCGCUAAUACCGCAUACGUCCUGAGGGAGAAAGUGGGGGAUCUUCGGACCUCACGCUAUCAGAUGAGCCUAGGUCGGAUUAGCUAGUUGGUGGGGUAAAGGCCUACCAAGGCGACGAUCCGUAACUGGUCUGAGAGGAUGAUCAGUCACACUGGAACUGAGACACGGUCCAGACUCCUACGGGAGGCAGCAGUGGGGAAUAUUGGACAAUGGGCGAAAGCCUGACCCAGCCAUGCCGCGUGUGUGAAGAAGGUCUUCGGAUUGUAAAGCACUUUAAGUUGGGAGGAAGGGCAGUAAGUUAAUACCUUGCUGUUUUGACGUUACCAAAAGAAUAAGCACCGGCUAACUUCGUG
rnacentral:rRNA from 1 species